rnacentral:rRNA from 1 species
GAUGAACGCUGGCGGCGUGCCUAAUACAUGCAAGUCGAGCGAACGGACGAGAAGCUUGCUUUUCUGAUGUUAGCGGCGGACGGGUGAGUAACACGUGGAUAACCUACCUAUAAGACUGGGAUAACUUCGGGAAACCGGAGCUAAUACCGGAUAAUAUUUUGAACCGCAUGGUUCAAAAGUGAAAGACGGUCUUGCUGUCACUUAUAGAUGGAGCCGCGCUGCAUUAGCUAGUUGGUAAGGUAACGGCUUAGCAAGGCAACGAUGCAUAGCCGACCUGAUAGGGUGAUCGGCCACACUGAGACGUAGACACGGUCCAGACUCCUACGGGAAGCAGCAGUAGGGAAUCUUCCGCAAUGGGCGAAAGCCUGACGGAGCAACGCCGCGUGAGUGAUGAACGUCUUCGGAUCGUAAAACUCUGUUAUUAGGGAAGAACAUAUGUGUAAGUAACUGUGCACAUCUUGACGUUACCUAAUCAGAAAGCCACGGCUAACUACGUG